UACGGAGGGUGCAAGCGUUAAUCGGAAUUACUGGGCGUAAAGCGCGCGUAGGCGGCUAUUUAAGCUAGAUGUGAAAGCCCCGGGCUCAACCUGGGAACUGCAUUUAGAACUGGAUGGCUAGAGUAUGGCAGAGGAGUGUGGAAUUUCCGGUGUAGCGGUGAAAUGCGUAGAGAUCGGAAGGAACAUCAGUGGCGAAGGCGACACUCUGGGCUAAUACUGACGCUGAGGUGCGAAAGCGUGGGGAGCAAACAGG
rnacentral:misc_RNA from 1 species